rnacentral:misc_RNA from 1 species
GAUGAAGAACGUAGCGAAAUGCGAUACGUAAUGUGAAUUGCAGAAUUCAGUGAAUCAUCGAAUCUUUGAACGCAUAUUGCGCUCUCUGCUAUUCCGGAGAGCAUGCUUGUUUGAGUAUCAGUAAACACCUCAACUUCCAUAUCUUUUUUGAAAUGGGAGUUGGACUUGAGUGAUCCCAACGCUUUUCCUCACCGAAAAGUGGCGGGUUACUUGAAAUGCAGGUGCAGCUGGACUUUUCUCUGAGCUAUAAGCAUAUCUAUUUAGUCUGCCUAAAAAACAGAUUAUUACCUUUGCUGCAGCUAACAUAAAGGAGAUUAGUUCUUGUGCUGACUGAUGCAGGAUUCACAAAGACAGGCUUCGGCCGACUUUGUAAACUCGAUCUCAAAUCAAGUAAGACUACCCGCUGAACUUAAGCAUAUCAAUAAGCGGAGGA